CUUACUUCCUUCCCCAGCAUAAUAAAUUUAAAUUCAAAUACUUCCAUUUAUCAUAAUUCAGUUGCUGCACAUAUUAUCUGUAGGCAAUGAUAAUCCCUUGGGUUGAGUUUCCACUGUAAUAAAGUUGAUUGCAGCAGUCGGUGGCAAAUUGAAUAUUUGCCCGUAUCUGAGAGAGAGAGAGAGAGCCUCUGUGUGUCUCUGCAAGUGAAUGUGUGCGAUUUCUGCUCGUCUCUUUUUUCUCUGUUUGCACGCGUAUUUGUUCGCAUUGUUAAGUGUUCGUUCGCUUCACCAUCCACAAGCACAGCAUCCACAACGGCACAAAAUAUCUGUAUGAUAAAUGCAAAGUAGUCAACGAGAGAGAGAGAGAGAGAGAGAGUGAGCGGGGAACUGAACUGAGAGGGAGAGAACAGAUUCGCUGGGAACUGUGUUCCACCAUUGUUAACGGUUGUUUGCGAGUGGAUGAUGUAGUUUGUGUCUCUGUCUGUCUAAGAAUUUCAAGCUACCAAUUUAUCAUAUCAAGCAACCCUUCGCUCUCUGAUUCUCCCUACCACCGUACUGCGCCGCCUCAGCUGUUGCUUCGUUGGCUGUUUCCACUGUACUCCAAUUUGUUGUUGUUUUUGUUCGCGUCUUCUGCUCGUUGUUUGUAUGUAUCUCCUCCUCCUCCUCCUUGUUGAUGUUGUUCGAGGCAUCCAGUGUCUUAUGCCAAUCUUUGGGCUCUAUCGAUUUUCUUUUGUUUAAUUUACUGGACCUCUUGCCGCGGGGGUGUGUGCGAAGCCCUUUCAGAUUUCGUAAUCUAGUUCGACUCGGGCUCUUGUCUUUCUUGUUUAUUUGUUUGAGUCGAGCUCUUGAUAACGUUUGAGUACGAGCUGCCGAAUUGAAUUCAUUUCCC
rnacentral:lncRNA from 1 species